rnacentral:rRNA from 1 species
GUAGCCCUACGGGACGCAGCAGUGGGGAAUAUUGCACAAUGGGCGAAAGCCUGAUGCAGCAACGCCGCGUGAAGGAAGAAGGGUUUCGGCUCGUAAACUUCUAUCAACAGGGACGAAAGAAAUGACGGUACCUGAAUAAGAAGCCCCGGCUAACUACGUGCCAGCAGCCGCGGUAAUACGUAGGGGGCAAGCGUUAUCCGGAAUUACUUGGUGUAAAGGGGGAGUAGGCGGCACGGUAAGCCAGAUGUGAAAGCCUUGGGCUUAACCCGCGGAUUGCAUUUGGGAC